GAUGAACGCUGGCGGCGUGCCUAAUACAUGCAAGUCGAGCGAACAGACGAGGAGCUUGCUCCUCUGACGUUAGCGGCGGACGGGUGAGUAACACGUGGAUAACCUACCUAUAAGACUGGGAUAACUUCGGGAAACCGGAGCUAAUACCGGAUAAUAUAUUGAACCGCAUGGUUCAAUAGUGAAAGACGGUUUUGCUGUCACUUAUAGAUGGAUCCGCGCCGCAUUAGCUAGUUGGUAAGGUAACGGCUUACCAAGGCAACGAUGCGUAGCCGACCUGAGAGGGUGAACGGACACACGGGAACUGAGAAACGGUCCAGACUCCGACGGGAGGAAGCAGUAGGGAAUCUUCCGCAAUGGGCGAAAGCCUGACGGAGCAACGCCGCGUGAGUGAUGAAGGUCUUCGGAUCGUAAAACUCUGUUAUUAGGGAAGAACAAAUGUGUAAGUAACUAUGCACGUAUUGACGGUACCUAAUCAGAAAGCCACGGCUAACUACGUG
rnacentral:rRNA from 1 species